UGUGCGCACCUGGUCCUGCUUUUCCGGCUGCGCACGCAUCUCUCAGGUGUGGUGGGCAGGCCGGACCUAGAGUGCUGCUUUCAGCAUUUCAUCUCCGAGCAAACUCACAGGCGUCUUUAGAGCUUUCUCAGGCACUCAGUUAUUUGCUCCUCAGAACAGUUUCGGAGAGAGAAGAGGCAGAAAUCACUGAGUGAGACAAAGAUGGCGUCCACCAGCCUUUGUCCUUGGAGGGUACCCCAGCAGGCAUGUGUGUUAAAUCUGAUCUCUGCUCCUCGGACCAACACUCUAAGGUCACCUGAAGCAAAUGCCUCAGCUCUCCAUGGUUCGCCUGUAUUCUGCUGUCCCACCGGCGAUGACGGCAUCCAGGGGAUAGCGCUUCUUGCGGAUGCUGCGCCCGGAGGAGAUGAGGUCGGCG